rnacentral:rRNA from 1 species
GUUGGUGGGGUAAUAGCCUACCAAGCCUAUGACGGGUAGCCGGUCUGAGAUGAUGUCCGGCCGCGAUGGGACUGAGAUACGGCCCAUACUCCUACGGGAGGCAGCAGUGGGGAAUCUUGCACAAUGGACGAAAGUCUGAUGCAGCGAUUCCGCGUGGAGGAUGAAGCAUUAUGGUGUGUAAACUCCUUUUCUGGUGGAAGACGAAUGACGGUACACCAGGAAUAAGAGACGGCUAACUACGUGCCAGCAGCCGCGGUAAUACGUAGGUCUCAAGCGUUAUCCGGAUUUACUGGGCGUAAAGUGUCCGUAGACUGAUAUAUAAGUCCGUUUUCAAAUAUCCCGGCUCAACCGGGAAAAGGGGAUGGAUACUGUGUAUCUAGAAGUUAUUAGAGGUUAGUGGAAUUUCCGGUGGAGCGGUGAAAUGCGUCGAUAUCGGAAAGAACGCCGAAAGCGAAAGCAGCUAACUAUAAUAAACUUGACGUUGAGGGACGACAGUGUGGGGAGCAAACAGGAUUAGAUACCCUGGUAGUCCACACCGUAAAUUAUGUCUGCUAGGUGUUUUCUCCAGCUUGCUGGGGGGAGUGCCGUAAUCUAACGAGUUAAGCAGAUCGCCUGGGUAGUAUACUCGCAAGAGUGAAACUCAAAGGGAUAGGCGGGGGAACACACAAGCAGUGGAUUAUCUAGAUUAAUUGGAUAAUAAGCCAAGAAUCUUACCUAGAUUUGACAUGCAUCGUGUCUUCUAUGAAAGUAGAAUAUUUUUUGUAGCAAUACAAAACUUUGCACAGGUGGUGCAUGGUCGUCGUCAGCUCGUGCG